rnacentral:ncRNA from 1 species
AGCACUCGACGGUGACGAUGAUUAAGAUCUCGUCACUUUCAUACCUCCCUGUUGGACUUUGGCCGAGCUUAGUGCUCGGCCUUUUUU